rnacentral:rRNA from 1 species
AGCGAACAGAAGGGUAGCUUGCUCCCGGAUGUUAGCGGCGGACGGGUGAGUAACACGUGGGUAACCUGCCUGUAAGACUGGGAUAACUCCGGGAAACCGGAGCUAAUACCGGAUAGUUCCUUGAACCGCAUGGUUCAAGGAUGAAAGACGGUUUCGGCUGUCACUUACAGAUGGACCCGCGGCGCAUUAGCUAGUUGGUGGGGUAAUGGCUCACCAAGGCGACGAUGCGUAGCCGACCUGAGAGGGUGAUCGGCCACACUGGGACUGAGACACGGCCCAGACUCCUACGGGAGGCAGCAGUAGGGAAUCUUCCGCAAUGGACGAAAGUCUGACGGAGCAACGCCGCGUGAGUGAUGAAGGUUUUCGGAUCGUAAAGCUCUGUUGUUAGGGAAGAACAAGUGCGAGAGUAACUG